rnacentral:rRNA from 1 species
AGUGAACGCUGGCGGUAGGCCUAACACAUGCAAGUCGAACGGCAGCACAGUAAGAGCUUGCUCUUACGGGUGGCGAGUGGCGGACGGGUGAGGAAUACAUCGGAAUCUACUUUUUCGUGGGGGAUAACGUAGGGAAACUUACGCUAAUACCGCAUACGACCUACGGGUGAAAGCAGGGGAUCUUCGGACCUUGCGCGAUUGAAUGAGCCGAUGUCGGAUUAGCUAGUUGGCGGGGUAAAGGCCCACCAAGGCGACGAUCCGUAGCUGGUCGGAGAGGAUGAGCAGCCAAACUGGAACUGAGACACGGUCCAGACUCCUACGGGAGGCAGCAGUGGGGAAUAUUGGACAAUGGGCGCAAGCCUGAUCCAGCCAUACCGCGUGGGUGAAGAAGGCCUUCGGGUUUUAAAGCCCUUUUGUUGGGAAAGAAAAGCAGCAGGUUAAUACCCCGCUGUUCUGACGGUACCCAAAGAAUAAGCACCGGCUAACUUCGUG